rnacentral:rRNA from 1 species
GACAGAGGGUGCAAACGUUGUUCGGAAUCACUGGGCGUAAAGCGCACGUAGGCGGAUUGCUAAGUCAGGGGUGAAAUCCUGGAGCUCAACUCCAGAACUGCCUUUGAUACUGGCGAUCUCGAGUUCGGGAGAGGUGAGUGGAACUGCGAGUGUAGAGGUGAAAUUCGUAGAUAUUCGCAAGAACACCAGUGGCGAAGGCGGCUCACUGGCCCGAUACUGACGCUGAGGCACGAAAGCGUGGGGAGCAAACAGG